rnacentral:rRNA from 1 species
GAAAGCCUGACGGACGACGCCGCGUGAGGGAUGAAGGUCUUCGGAUUGUAAACCUCUUUUGUAGGGAAAGAAGGGGCACCCGCUAAUAACGAGGUGUCUUUGACGGUACUCUAAGAAUAAGCCCUGGCUAACUACGUGCCAGCAGCCGCGGUAAUA